rnacentral:rRNA from 1 species
GACGAACGCUGGCGGCGUGCCUAAUACAUGCAAGUAGGACGCAGUUGCGAACGGGUGAGUAACGCGUAGGUAACUUCCUAUUAGAGGGGGAUAACUAUUGGAAACGAUAGCUAAUACCGCAUACUAGUAGAUGGACCUGCGUUGUAUUAGCUAGUAGGUAGGGUAAUGGCCUACCUAGGCGACGAUACAUAGCCGACCUGAGAGGGUGAUGGGCCACACUGGGACUGAGACACGGCCCAGACUCCGACGGGAGGCAGCUGUAGGGAAGCGUCGGCAAUGGAGGAAACCCUGACCAAGCAACGCCGCGUGAGUGAAGAGGGUUUUCGGAUAGUAAGGCUCUGUUGUUAAGGAAGAGGUGCUUGACUAGAAAGGGACGGCUAACUACGUGCCAGCGGCCGCGGUAAUUC